UUGAAAUACUGGUUCCCGUACAAUCACCGAAGGUAAGCAACGUCGAGCCCGGUCAGUACCUAAAUGGGUGACCACUUGGGAAUACUAGAUGCUA